rnacentral:rRNA from 1 species
GAACGCUGGCGGCAUGCUUUACACAUGCAAGUCGAACGGCAGCACGGGUGCUUGCACCUGGUGGCGAGUGGCGGACGGGUGAGUAAUGCAUCGGAACGUGUCCUGAAGUGGGGGAUAACGCAUCGAAAGAUGUGCUAAUACCGCAUAUUCUCUGAGGAGGAAAGUAGGGGAUCGAAAGACCUUAUGCUUUUGGAGCGGCCGAUGUCUGAUUAGCUAGUUGGUAGGGUAAUGGCUUACCAAGGCGACGAUCAGUAGUUGGUCUGAGAGGACGACCAGCCACACUGGGACUGAGACACGGCCCAGACUCCUACGGGAGGCAGCAGUGGGGAAUUUUGGACAAUGGGCGCAAGCCUGAUCCAGCAAUGCCGCGUGAGUGAAGAAGGCCUCGGUGUAAGCUCUUCUAGUUGUAGAAGAAAAGUACGUAGACGUAAUAAUACAU